rnacentral:tRNA from 4 species
GGGGGUAUGGCGGAAUCGGUAGACGCUGUAGAUUUAAAAUCUGCUGAUCGUAAGGUCGUGGGAGUUCAAGUCUCCCUACCCCCA